AACGAACGCUGGCGGCAUGCCUAACACAUGCAAGUCGAACGAGAUCUUCGGGUCUAGUGGCACACGGGUGCGUAACGCGUGGGAAUCUGCCCUUUGGUUCGGAAUAACAGUUGGAAACGACUGCUAAUACCGGAUGAUGACGAAAGUCCAAAGAUUUAUCGCCAGAGGAUGAGCCCGCGUAGGAUUAGCUAGUUGGUGUGGUAAAGGCGCACCAAGGCGACGAUCCUUAGCUGGUCUGAGAGGAUGAUCAGCCACACUGGGACUGAGACACGGCCCAGACUCCUACGGGAGGCAGCAGUGGGGAAUAUUGGACAAUGGGCGAAAGCCUGAUCCAGCAAUGCCGCGUGAGUGAUGAAGGCCUUAGGGUUGCAAAGCUCUUUUACCCGGGAUGAUAAUGACAGUACCGGGAGAAUAAGCUCCGGCUAACUCCGUGCCAGCCGCCGCGGUAA
rnacentral:rRNA from 1 species